rnacentral:lncRNA from 1 species
AUGCUUUAUUUUGUGUGUGGUGUGUUUGGAAUUAUGCUUUGUUUUGUGUGUUGUUUGCAAUAAAUUAAGGUUUGUUUUUAAUUAAACUUUGUUUUGAUGUGCAAAUGCUUUUAAUAAAUAGUUAUAUUAUUUAAUGCUUUCUUUAUUGAAUAAAAGGGAAACAAUACCACAAAUUAAUACAUAUGGCAAAUCUUUCAAUACAACCUAAUGGUUUUGAUCAUUUAACCAAUCUGUAUUGCUAGGUCCGUUGUCAUGAAAAAGUUUUCUUCUCAUCACAUCCCUUCGUUUAGCUUCCAAUAGGACUUUGUUUCAGGAGACAUAUGGCUCAUAUUCAUGGCCAUGAUUUUCAUCUCUCUGUCCUCCAUGUCUUAUUCUUGUGCCCGUUGCCUUUGAAUUGCAAAUGCUUCAUGUCGUGCCUUGUCCGUUUCUUCUCUUUUCAGGUCUCUUUCAAUUCUCAGUGGGCCAUUCUUAGCUAUUUGCUCCAAAAAUUGUGUACAUUCAUUGUUCGAAGUGCUCCCUCUAGGCCUUUGCCGCCCUUCUCCCAAUAGGUCUUGGCACAUGUGGGAGUGGUGAGUCUUGAUCCAUUGGGGAGUCCAAUGGCGAAUCCUGGAGUGGCGUCUCAUUCAACACACCGGCGGACUAGUGGAAAUAAUUUUGAAUAUCGAACAAUUCUUCACAACUUCCCAACAUUGGUG